GAGACCAGAUCCUACAUAACCGGGUAGACCGUUUCUAAAUAAGGAAAACUGUUAACUCCUAAGGAAGGAGUUAGCCUUGUUCCUUUUUCGUUAGAGAUAUUCUACGAAGAGAGGAUGGUGGCCCAGAGUGAUGUGAGGUAGAGGAAGGUGUGGGAGCAGGGCCCAGAGUGAUGUGAGGUAGAGGAAGGUGUGGGAGCAGGGCCCAGAGUGAUGUGAGGUAGAGGAAGGUUGAGGAGCAGGGCCCAGAGUGAUGUGAGGUAGAGGAAGGUGUGGGAGCAGGGCCCAGAGUGAUGUGAGGUAGAGGAAGGUUGCGGUCUCACCCUGAGCGCCUUGAGGAGCCUCCAUCUCCAGGAGCUUCUCCUCCACUUCCUCAGGUCCACGGGGUUCAGGGAGCUCAGCAGGAUGUGGGUGGUGGACUCGGAGUAGGGGAGGAGAGGACGGUACUCCUCCUCUGAGACGCACACGCACACGCA